rnacentral:rRNA from 1 species
GACGAACGCUGGCGGCGUGCUUAACACAUGCAAGUCGAACGGAAAGGCCCUGCUUUUGUGGGGUGCUCGAGUGGCGAACGGGUGAGUAACACGUGAGUAACCUGCCCUUGACUUUGGGAUAACUUCAGGAAACUGGGGCUAAUACCGGAUAGGAGCUCCUGCUGCAUGGUGGGGGUUGGAAAGUUUCGGCGGUUGGGUAUGGACUCGCGGCUUAUCAGCUUGUUGGUGGGGUAGUGGCUUACCACGGCUUUGACGGGUAGCCGGCCUGAGAGGGUGACCGGCCACAUGGGGACUGAGAUACGGCCCAGACUCCUACGGGGGGCAGCAGUGGGGAAUAUUGCACAAUGGGCGGAAGCCUGAUGCAGAAACGCCGCGUGCGGGAUGACGGCCUUCGGGUUGUAAACCGCUUUCGCCUGUGACGAAGCGUGAGUGACGGUAAUGGGUAAAGAAGCACCGGCUAACUACGUG